AGCCGGGCAUAAUUGCUGCAGGUGUGCGUAAUUAACUCGCCUAUUUAUCCACACCUGUACGGGCAGGAAGGCACUGGCUGAUUAGUCUUCGUGACACAUGUCAGGACCUCGGAUUCAAGCUCUGGAUUCUUCUCCUCAAUUCCACUUCCUGUACGACUUUUCGCCUUCCGUCCGACCCAGAUGGAUUACCGCCUGUGUGGACUUCUGCUUCUGUCCGGCUUGGCCUGCGUGUCCACAGGACAGUUCCCCAACGCGCACAUG